rnacentral:rRNA from 1 species
AUUGAACGCUGGCGGCAGGCCUAACACAUGCAAGUCGAGCGGAUGAAGGGGGCUUGCGCCUGGAUUCAGCGGCGGACGGGUGAGUAAUGCCUAGGAAUCUGCCUGGUAGUGGGGGAUAACGUCCGGAAACGGGCGCUAAUAUCGCAUCCGUCCUGAGGGAGAAAGAGGGGGAUCUUCGGACAUCACGCUAUUAGAUGAGCCUAGGUCGGAUUAGCGAGUUGGUGGGGUAAAGGCCUACCAAGGCGACGAUCCGUAACUGGUCUGAGAGGAUGAUCAGUCACAUUGGACCUGAGACACGGUCCAGACUCCUACGGGAGGAAGCGGUGGGGAAUAUUGGACAAUGGGCGAAAGCCUGAUCCAGCAAUGCCGCGUGUGUGAAGAAGGUCUUCGGAUUGUAAAGCACUUUAAGUUGGGAGGAAGGGCAGUAAGUUAAUACCUUGCUGUUUUGACGGUACCAACAGAAUAAGCACCGGCUAACUUCGUG